AGUGUUCAAGAACCCUUAUUUCUAUGAAACUCUAAAAAUAUCAAUUUAUCAUCCAUAAAGUCAAAAAUAUUACACUCUAAUAAUAAAAAUUAAUAGCAAAAUAACUAUAUACACUACUAAUUAAUAAUUACCCAAGCAAUAAUAAUAAUUAAAAACAUACCUUCAAAUGCUUGGAUUGGAAUUGAAAAUCAAACUCCAAUGGCAAAAAUCGCCCCUCAAGAGAGAACCCCUUUCUCAAAUUAUAAACCCUAAAAAUCAAUUUCACCCCAUAAACAUAACCCAAACAAGUAGCAGCCUUCUUCGAUGCUGGGACAUCAUAAACCAUGAUAAACCCUGAUGUUCUCCCUCGAAAAUAUUGGAGAAAAGAAAAACAAUUCUUCCAUGAUCCAAAUGGAUGCAUUUUCUGUACAGAGCACAUCAAUAAGCUAUUUAAAUUAUAGUUCUUCCCAAGAUGUUCUAUCAUUCAUAUAGUAAUUGGCUCAAAAUUACUAGGGAAAGAUCUAAUUAUUGGUUUUGAUGUGUAAACCGAGACAAAGGGUUUACAAAUCCAUCCUAUCGGCCUUGGAUAUAUAAACGACAUUUUGCUCCAUGAGAAUUGUAACGUCCCAAAUUACCUAAUAAGGCUUAGGGCCUUGAUUAAGGUGCUAGGAUGACAAUUUAUGGAAAUUAUAUGUUUAUGUGAUAUAUAUGCAUGAAACUAUGUGAUUAUGUGAGUUAUAUGAUAAUAUGACUAGAUAUGCAUGUUUAGGUGUAUUAAAAUGCAUGUGGGCCCGCUUCUUAUUAGAAAGGAAAUUUUUGUAAUUUGAUGGGUAUAUUUGGAAUAUAUGUGCAUAUAUGUGUGACACCACAUUAUUAUGUGGAUAUAUUUGGGUUACUUGGCAUGAGACGUUCCUAGAGAGCAAGUUAGCGAGAAAGUCACAAUGGGACCUAAUACUGGAAUCGGGGUGAGUCAAGGGGUAUUUUGGGUAUCUAGUACAUUAUCGGGUUUAACAGGAAUAAAUUUUCAAGGAUACAUUUGGAUUUAGUGAGAUUAGGAGGGAAUAUCGGGGAUUUUGACAAUUUUUCCCUCAGGGACAUUUUUGGUAUUCCCAAGCCUCGGGAUUUGCUUAAGGUUACUUAGCGUCUAAGUAAACCUUACAAACACUCAAACAGAAGAAAAAAUACGUUCUUCUUAUUCUCUCUCUCUCUCUCUCUCUCUCUUUCUCUCUCUCUCACUCUCUCUCAGGUACACACUCUCUCCCUCAAAUUCCUUGGGAAUUAUUGCGAUUUAAGGAGAAUCGAGACUAGCUUAGCCUCGAGAUUUCUUGGGGAAAGACUUACCAUCGAUUGGGGGCAACAAGGGUAAUGAUUUCGAGCCCUAAAUCUCUAUGUGCUUCUAGUUUUUAGUUAAGCUUUUGGAGUUUUAGAAACUCAGUUCUGAGUUGGAAAUUUGAUGGAGUUUUGGCCAAGCUUUUGCUUGGGUUUUAAUGGUUUUGGGCUGCUGAAUUGAUUGGGGACUUUACUUUUGAGUUUUAGCUAUGUUCAGAUAGGUUAUUCGAGGGAUUUGGCUUGAAGAAAAUGGUGAAAAAAUAGAUUUUUCAUGUUGAGUCGCGGCCCUGUUCUUGGGGCGCUACGACUUUCUUGAAAGAAGAAGGUGCCUUUGGGCCAUUUGAGUCGCGGUACCUAUUAGGGCGCUCCACGGGGCGUGUCAAAAUAGAGGAGAGCUUGGGCUCUCUGACUUGGGACAGACUGCGACUCCUUUUUUUUUUUAGCUAAAUUGCUUGAAGGGUUUUGAGUGUGGGAACUCAAACCUAAGGGCUCGGGGAUGAUCCUACUACCCGAUUUAGUAGAAUUAGACGUCUCGGAGGCUAAGACUCAGUCUUGAAGCCUUUAUUCAGUUGUUUUGAUGAGAUUCUCUAUUGGUUGUUACUAGGUUAUUGCUACAGUCUCGGAACCAGAAUCGUGCUCGAGGGUCGAUCUUAAUACACAUUGCACUUCGACCUAAGUGUAGGUAAGGGGAAUGGAAAGCUAGACCAACCAUGAGAUGGAGAGCUUCGGUGGCAUCGUGUACAUAUUUUGUUGCUUGUCUACCGCGGUCGAGGAUAUCUCAGAGGAACUAGGGUUGUAUACCUUAUUUUGUCACUUAGGUAGGCUGGUUGUAACUUUUGACUAUAUAUACCUUUUCCAACAUCUGUUUGUAACCAUUUGGGAUACCAUGUUUGUAUUAAACUUUUAAAUGAAAAGUCAAAGUUCCCUUUGACCAAAUUUUUUAACUAUCUACAUUAACCUUAGUUACACGUUUAUAACCAAACGACUUGAUUAGCAAGUCUGACACUAUUUAAAGUACAAAGUGUAACGGUCCUGGAUUAGGAGGAUGAUACAACUUGGUAUCAGAGCUGCCAAGGUUUAAGGGUUCCUGAAGACUGGCCGGGCAUGUACACUCGCCAUUAAAGACAAGCUCGACUCAGGGUUUGCUAACUACUUAUGUGAUUAAGUGUUUAACUGUUUAAAAUAAAUGUGUACGCCUUGUCUGCAUGCCUUUUUAGGGAGCAUGAGAUAUUCUGAUAAGGCCUGACUUUUGAUUGUUGCAUGAAUGAUAAAAAACAUGCUUAUUAGCAUCGUUAUUGCU